GCGCGCGAGGAGGAAGACGCAGGGGCGUGCAGGGAACACCCGAUCCCCUUUGGCGAGAAAACGCGUUGAAUAGCGGCAGCUUGUGUCGAUACGGUGUCGUUGCGAGUCUCGAUUUGUGUAUAUCGGCUCUCGCCAGAGUGCUUAACGGCACCUGUUGCGGCUGCCCUUAGCCUUUGCCGCCGAUAUCGAUCGGAUCUCCGACUCGGGACACAAGUAUGUCUUAAAAUCGCAUCAUUAAUCUUAAUUUAGAUAUAAGUUAAUGAUCUUGUGUGCUUCCAUAGUUCCAUCAAUCUUGUUUCCUGUUGAGUGCAUUAUUAAGCGCGCGCAUCACUAGUCUUAAGUUAGAUAUAAUAAUCAUCUUGUAUGUUUUCAUCAAUCUUGUUUCUUGUCGAGUGCAUUAAGCCCUAUGCUGGAAUUUGUAAUUUUUAAGGGACAAACCACUUCAAACUUUCGAUGAGAGAGAGCAGGAAACAUAGUAUCAUUGCUAGCAACAAACAAAUAUUAAUUCCGCACCAAAUACUGUCCCAAACAAAUGAGUAGUCCAUAUCCCACUAAACAGUAGUAUUACUUCACUCAAAUAAGAAACAAAUAUGAAUUAUGCAUCAAGCACUGUUCCCUGCUGUUUUUUAGAUAAUGGAUUAAGAAACCGGCCUCUACAUCCAACUGUUCCCUGCUGUUGAUCGGUGAAGUUUCAUUUCGUCGUCAGAUGGAA